CUCUCUCUCUCUCAAAAUAAAUACCUAAACUUAAAAAAAAAAGAUUUUUUCCAACUAUACAUAAUGUAAAUAACGCAUCUUGUGAAGUCAAAUCUAUUUCAACACCAAAAGUCCAGUUACAAUAUAACCAUGGUUGACUCAUGGGCUCACUAAAGCAAAGUCAGUCACUAAUAUCCUGUUUUUGAGCAUUCUUCCUCAUGGCCAGUUUGGCUGCUAUAGGUCACAUUAUUCCCUAACAGGCUUCAUCUUGGAUAGUACAUGGCAUACUGAAUGACAUUACAAGGAGCACCUUGCCUUGUCUAUGAGAGCAAAAAAAGGGAAAUUUUGGAUACAUCAUGCUAAAUACAAGGCAGAGAUUGGGGUGAUGCUCCUACAAACCAAAGAAUGCCAAAGAUUGCCAGCAAGCCAUUAAAAGCUAGGAAAUGCAGUACAAACCAGUGUGCACCUAGCUGUCAAUAAUAAUCCCUACACCUGGCUCAAGCAUCUGUUUUGCUGGCCUCCCACCUCAAGAAAGCUGCCAGAAAGCUUAUCAGGUGGGUGUGUU